AUUGAACGCUGGCGGCAUGCCUUACACAUGCAAGUCGAACGGUAACGGGCCUUCGGGUGCCGACGAGUGGCGAACGGGUGAGUAAUACAUCGGAACGUGCCCGAUCGUGGGGGAUAACGAGGCGAAAGCUUUGCUAAUACCGCAUACGAGCUACGGAUGAAAGCAGGGGACCGCAAGGCCUUGCGCGGACGGAGCGGCCGAUGGCAGAUUAGGUAGUUGGUGGGAUAAAAGCUUACCAAGCCGACGAUCUGUAGCUGGUCUGAGAGGAUGAUCAGCCACACUGGGACUGAGACACGGCCCAGACUCCUACGGGAGGCAGCAGUGGGGAAUUUUGGACAAUGGGCGCAAGCCUGAUCCAGCCAUGCCGCGUGCAGGAUGAAGGCCUUCGGGUUGUAAACUGCUUUUGUACGGAACGAAAAGCAUUCUUUUAAUACAGGAGGGUCAUGACGGUACCGUAAGAAUAAGCACCGGCUAACUACGUG
rnacentral:rRNA from 1 species